ensembl:lncRNA
GCCUAGACGAGAGGGUUGUAUUUGGAAACGCGGAGUGGGAAGUUUUUCGGUGCUGUGUAGGUAGCGAAUUGGCGGAUUGGGGUUUGUGGUGGAUAUCUGGGCCAAAACUGGAAAGACACCUGGAGUAAAAAGGUCCGGUAUGGGGGUAGAGUUGAGAGUGCCUGGGGAUACAGUCCAUGCUAUCGUUCUUUUCCCUAUUUUCUUUUAGUUUAGAUGUUUAGCCAAUAGGAGUUAUUUCAUUGUUCUUUCCUUCGGUUAGCCUGUUCCCCUGUUGAGGGAUAUAAUUUUUUUUUGGCUAACUUCUACUAGAGUUUGGGAAAAAUAGAACUUGUGUUAAACGAAGACGCGAGCUUUACAGUCAGAUCUGUAUCCCUUUGACUUUUAGUAGCUGAGUGAUCCUGCGGAAAUUAACGUGUCUAAAUAUCGGUCGCUUCAUCUAUAAAAUAAGAGUGAUGUCUCCGAGCAUUGUUACGAAGAUUAUAAUGGCCUAUCAUGUAUGGAGUAGUUAUUAUGUCCAGUUUCGGGUAAACGCUCAAUACUUGUGUGUAUGCAUUUCGUGCUUGAGACCUAUAGGAUUUGGGGAAAGGAGCAGAUUAGGAAUUGGAAUCUUUUUAGCUUUUCCUGAGAAAAAUGGGCCCAGAUGGACUUGUGAGAAGCCCUUUUGAGAUAUUCAGUAUUUGAGUCUGUGAUUUCAGGGGCUAACAAUGGACACCCAGAAGGACGUUCAACCUCCAAAGCAGCAACCAAUGAUAUAUAUCUGUGGAGAAUGUCACACAGAAAAUGAAAUAAAAUCUAGGGAUCCAAUCAGAUGCAGAGAAUGUGGAUACAGAAUAAUGUACAAGAAAAGGACUAAAAGAUUGGUUGUUUUUGAUGCUCGAUGAAACCUGGGAAUUCAGAGGAGUGUCUUCACUUAUACUUGGAUUUGCUGUCUUAACGUUUCUGAUUGUUGUAUUUCGAUUUUGCAUACUGUAGUUCUCUCUUAUCUUUGGGGGAUACAUUCCAAGGCCCCCAGUGAACUCCUGAAACCUCAGAUAGUACCAAACCUUUAUACACUGUUUUUUUCUAUAUAUACUAUGAUAUAUGUGUGAGAGAGAUAUAUAUAUGUUAAAGUAUAAUGUAUAAAUUAAGCAUAGCAAGAGAUUAAUAACAAUGUAAUAGGACAAUGCUAACAUACUGUAAUAAAAGUUAUGUGAAUGUGGUUGGUCUCUCUUGCUCUCAAAAUAUCUUCUUUUACAGUACUCACCUAUUUUAGAAUGUGGCUGACUACAGGUAACUGAAACCACAGAAAGGGAAACUUUGGAUGAGGGGGGCACUACUGUACUUAGGAAUACAACUAUAUAUACAUAUGAUUUUAUUUUUAAGACCAUAUUGUAUUUGGGUAUCUACUAAUAUUCUGUAUAAAGCAAUUUUUUGUUCCAUUACAUUACUUUUUGUUUUAUUGUAUAUGUAAUCUGACGUACAAUAAAGGGUAAAGUUGCUUCCCCAAACCAUACUUUUAAUCAAAACCUAGAAUCAUCUGCAGUCCUUGUUAAAAAUGCAGGUUUCUAGAACCCUCUGAAGUUCUGAUUAAAUAAAUUUAUUGGAAAC